rnacentral:rRNA from 3 species
GGAACUGUGAGACAGGUGCUGCAUGGCUGUCGUCAGCUCGUGUUGUGAAAUGUUGGGUUAAGUCCCGCAACGAGCGCAACCCUUAUCCUUUGUUGCCAGCGGUUAGGCCGGGAACUCAAAGGAGACUGCCAGUGAUAAACUGGAGGAAGGUGGGGAUGACGUCAAGUCAUCAUGGCCCUUACGACCAGGGCUACACACGUGCUACAAUGGCGCAUACAAAGAGAAGCGACCUCGCGAGAGCAAGCGGACCUCAUAAAGUGCGUCGUAGUCCGGAUUGGAGUCUGCAACUCGACUCCAUGAAGUCGGAAUCGCUAGUAAUCGUGGAUCAGAAUGCCACGGUGAAUACGUUCCCGGGCCUUGUACACACCGCCCGUCACACCAUGGGAGUGGGUUGCAAAAGAAGUAGGUAGCUUAACCUUCGGGAGGGCGCUUACCACUUUGUGAUUCAUGACUGGGGUGAAGUCGUAACAAGGUAACCGUAGGGGAACCUGCGGUUGGAUCACCUCCUUACCUUAAAGAAGC